AUGUAAAAGGCAAACCCCGUGAAAGCGGAGGGCGCAAAGCUAAAGGGCCUAAGGGCGUUCGCCUAUGGCAGCCAGUUGCCGU
rnacentral:ncRNA from 1 species